UACGUAGGUGGCAAGCGUUGUCCGGAUUUACUGGGCGUAAAGAGCGCGCAGGCGGUCGAUCAAGUCGCGUGUGAAAGCCCCCGGCUCAACUGGGGAGGGUCACGCGAUACUGAUCGACUCGAAGGCAGGAGAGGGUAGUGGAAUUCCUAGUGUAGAGGUGAAAUUCGUAGAUAUUAGGAAGAACACCAGUGGCGAAGGCGGCUCACUGGUCCGGUACUGACGCUGAGGUGCGAAAGCGUGGGGAGCAAACAGG
rnacentral:rRNA from 1 species